UACGUAGGGAGCAAGCGUUAUCCGGAAUUACUGGGUGUAAAGGGUGCGUAGGCGGGAUGUAAAGUCAGAUGUGAAAUGCCAAGGCUUAACCUUGGAGCUGCAUUUGAAACUUACAUUCUUGAGUGAAGUAGAGGCAAGCGGAAUUCCCAGUGUAGCGGUAAAAUGCGUAGAUAUUGGGAGGAACACCAGUGGCGAAGGCGGCUUGCUGGGCUUUAACCGACGCUGAGGCACGAAAGCAUGGGGAGCAAACAGGAUUAGAUACUCUGGUAGUCCAUGCCGUAAACGAUGGAUACUAGGUGUGAGGGGUACUGACCCCCCUCGUGCCGCAGUUAACACAAUAAGUAUCCCACCUGGGGAGUACGACCGCAAGGUUAAA
rnacentral:rRNA from 1 species